rnacentral:rRNA from 1 species
GAUGAACGCUGGCGGCGUGCCUAAUACAUGCAAGUCGAGCGAAUGGAUUAAGAGCUUGCUCUUAUGAAGUUAGCGGCGGACGGGUGAGUAACACGUGGGUAACCUGCCCAUAAGACUGGGAUAACUCCGGGAAACCGGGGCUAAUACCGGAUAACAUUUUGAACCGCAUGGUUCGAAAUUGAAAGGCGGCUUCAGCUGUCACUUAUGGAUGGACCCGCGUCGCAUUAGCUAGUUGGUGAGGUAACGGCUCACCAAGGCAACGAUGCGUAGCCGCCGUGAGAGGGUGAUCGGCCACACUGGACUGAGACACGGCCCAGACUCCUACGGGAGGCAGCAGUAGGGAAUCUUCCGCAAUGGACGAAAGUCUGACGGAGCAACGCCGCGUGAGUGAUGAAGGCUUUCGGGUCGUAAAACUCUGUUGUUAGGGAAGAACAAGUGCUAGUUGAAUAAGCUGGCACCUUGACGGUACCUAACCAGAAAGCCACGGCUAACUACGUGCCAGCCGCCGCAGUAA